AACGAACGCUGGCGGCAUGCCUAAUACAUGCAAGUCGAACGAUCACUUCGGUGGUAGUGGCGCACGGGUGCGUAACGCGUGGGAAUCUGCCCUUGGGUUCGGAAUAACAGUUGGAAACGACUGCUAAUACCGGAUGAUGACGUAAGUCCAAAGAUUUAUCGCCCAAGGAUGAGCCCGCGUAGGAUUAGCUAGUUGGUGAGGUAAAGGCUCACCAAGGCUACGAUCCUUAGCUGGUCUGAGAGGAUGAUCAGCCACACUGGGACUGAGACACGGCCCAGACUCCUACGGGAGGCAGCAGUAGGGAAUAUUGGACAAUGGGGGCAACCCUGAUCCAGCAAUGCCGCGUGAGUGAUGAAGGCCUUAGGGUUGUAAAGCUCUUUUACCCGAGAUGAUAAUGACAGUAUCGGGAGAAUAAGCUCCGGCUAACUCCGUG
rnacentral:rRNA from 1 species